GUAGAGGCAUUUAAGGCCUCGUAUUGGUACAUGCACCACCCCUCGAUUCUUAGGUCUAUCCGGACCCCUGUCACUUACCUGAGUACUCCUUGUGCAUGUCACCUGUCUUGGCUGGGAGGUGUCCUCAUGUCCUCCUGUGGCCCCAUCCUUUGUAGCCAGAGGUAGCCCAUUGGAUUGCUUUUAAGUUCAGCAAGAAACACGAGCUCAGGCAUGGAAACAUUAACUCAUGUGACCAUUACCUCAGGGGUGGAUAUCUCCUUCAGAGAAGAAUAGGAAAUGCUGUCAAGAUGCUCAAGAAGGUGAGUUGGUCUUUCAUGAGUCUGAGAGAGAUGGACAUUGGAUACUAAUAGCUCCAGGACUAAUGAUAGCACCAUAUUUAAUGAUGUUUGCCUUUUUAAUUGUGUUUUUUGACAUAAUGGACACUAGAGCAAAUGAACACACCUUCCAAUAAAGUCUUUGUUUGUCUUUUCUUGAGCCUGAACCUGAAUAACACAGACCCAGGCCCCUCGCAUCUCAGGAAAUGGUUUUGAUUUCUUUGGACUGGAGAUAAAAAUAUGUGUUGUGUUUCAUGUGAGGAGGUGGCCCACUCUCUUCCUCUUUACUCAUUUUGUCAGCAACCUAGAUCCCCCCUCCUGGCCUGGCUUCCACUGGCCUUCUUCCAGCCACUGAGACACAAGCUUUCUUCGGGUGUAUGUAUGUCUGUGCGUGGUUGGGAAAAUGAGGUGCCCAGAUUGGAUAAGCCAUGUUAAGCCCCACCCAUGCAGGAGAGGAACAAGUUCACAGUGGUGAAAUCGAAACGCUGCUGACGUGUCCCGGGGAGUUGGCAGGUGCUGGAGGCUUUCGCUUCCUAUAUCACUUGGAGCAAACACUGCAGUCAACAGCAUCUUCUCCUACACCAAACAUGGUUGAUGAGGACCUGACAGCUAUUCCUGGCCACAGAGUCUCUUCAGAAUUGCCAACGCCACCCAUGCCAUUAUCUGUCCCAAACCUCCUGAAUGAACGCAACCGACUGGGGGCCAAUGGAGAGCUGGACAAUGCAACUCGGCGGUGUUUCAAUCAUGCCAUACAGCUCUUGAAUGUCCAGUCCAACAGAAUACAAGACAAUACCACGCUGGUGCUUGACUAUGGCAUGGUCUCUGAAAAGAGUUAUCUACAUUGUUUGAGUGAAAUUAAGCAUGCUCAUUAUACAGAAUGGAGAAGGUUUUAGAAGAUCAUAAACUCCUCACCUUUACAAGGGAGUUGUGUGCAGUGAGAGGAGUCUCCGUUGUUGUAGUCUCUGUGAAGGGAGUGGUCCAGCAGAGCGGUCUCUGUGACUGAAGCUUGUUUGUCAUGGGCAUUCAGCUUUUCAUCUUCCCUUGGUCCAUCAUCAUCAGUUAUUGUGGUCAUCUGUCCCUAGAUCCCUAACUAGGCCGGAGUAAUUGAAGAACACACUUACCUGAGACAGAGGAGUGCUAAGGAAUUGGGUAAAGUAUCACCUUCCCAUGAGUAAGUGUGGGACCAGCUUGGGUGUUGCUAGUUGUGGGAGAAGUCCUGGGAGCAGUAGGGGUGUCUGUGUGGUUAUGUUGGGAGGUGAAAAUCUGUUCUUGCAUAUAUUUGCAUAUAAAUUCUAUUAUCUGUGUAUAACCUUGCUAAUAGUUGUACUAAAUGUUGAACCAUUUGUAUGCUGUUCUGUGCUGAUGUGUUUGAUAUUUGGUGUGAUACCAUAUAUGUGUGUUAUACUUAC